rnacentral:rRNA from 1 species
AUUGAACGCUGGCGGAAUGCUUUACACAUGCAAGUCGAACGGCAGCACGGACUUCGGUCUGGUGGCGAGUGGCGAACGGGUGAGUAAUACAUCGGAACGUGCCCAGUCGUGGGGGAUAACAUAGCGAAAGCUACGCUAAUACCGCAUACGAUCUAAGGAUGAAAGCGGGGGAUCGCAAGACCUCGCGCGAUUGGAGCGGCCGAUGGCAGAUUAGGUAGUUGGUAGGGUAAAGGCCUACCAAGCCGACGAUCUGUAGCUGGUCUGAGAGGAUGAUCAGCCACACUGGGACUGAGACACGGCCCAGACUCCUACGGGAGGCAGCAGUGGGGAAUUUUGGACAAUGGGCGAAAGCCUGAUCCAGCCAUGCCGCGUGCAGGAUGAAGGCCUUCGGGUUGUAGACUGCUUUUGUACGGAACGAAAAGGUUUGGGCUAAUAAGCUGAGCUCAUGACGGUACCGUAAGAAUAAGCACCGGCUAACUACGUGCCAGCCGCCGCCGUAA